GGCCGGAUAAGCAAAGCGCAUCCGGCAUUCAACGCCUGAUGCGACGCUGGCGCGUCUUAUCAGGCC
rfam:Escherichia coli str. K-12 substr. MG1655, complete genome.